UCUCCUGAGUAAGACCAGAGAAAGCAGUUGAGAUUAGCAGGGAUGUGAGCCUCCUCCAGGAUUUCUAUCAGCCCUGUGGCACUACAGUAGUCACAGUGGCAAACUCUUAAUUGCUCCUAUUUCUCUCAUUCAUCCUUGUUUUUAUUGUACAGCAGUUCAGAGCAUCCUUGUGCCUCUGCACUUAAAGCUACUCAUUGUAUCCUAAGCAAGAGGAUGUGUCACACGUUGGUGGGAAGGAAGAGGAGAUGUCACUGUCCCAGCAGUGCCAGGAGGCAGGAGGGGAGCAGUGACCCCUUCCUUGCCUCCCUCUGUUCUUCCCCCGGUGCUGCUCCGCUCCCCUGUGUGGUCUGUGGUGCAGGUAGGGGCUACAGCCUCCGGUGGGGAAAUUUCCUGUCUUAGCCAGACCUUGCCUGUGAAGUGUGAGCUGUUAAAGGCACACAGGAGCUGUGUUUGUUCAGAGGCAGCUGUGUUCUCCCUAGCUCAGCACUCCCCAGCAGCUUGCUCUGACAUGUCCUCUGUUUGACUCCUGCAGAUAAUGGAGACCAGAAACACGAAUCUUCCUGGAAUGAGCCCCACCAGACAAGCUCUCCUCAGGCUGCCCUUGCUGCACCCUCCUGUGGGACAAACAGCCUCAGACACCAGGUGACAGAGUGUGUGGGAAGGCAACAUCAAAGCCAGUGCUUGUUACAGACCCUUCCUUGAGUCCUGUCAUCUCAGGAGUGGGCUGGACACCCCGGUGGCAAAACCAGCACAUUUCCACAGGAUGGGAUUUAUAUGGUCAGGGGAUUUGUGUAGCAGCUCUGGAAGAAACCAUCAAAGGAAGGACAGCUGGUUACAGGAACAGAUAAGGAGGCUCCUGCUAUCCCCACAGAGGUUACACUUGCUCAGCUGUGGAUGUCCUUUGAACCAGGUAAAGGUGUCACGGGAGGAGCAAAGGUCUGUCCCAUGUGGAAAAAAAGAAAUCCAAACACAGAAUUAUCCCUGAGUACAAGUGAGUGGAAUUGGUUUUAAUUCUUUAGUUUACAAGGAACGGAUCAUUAUUUGUUGCCUAGAAAGAAAUUUUUGGAAGUGACUGUUGCUGAUGCUGUUAACUUUUUGGAAGAGGCCAGAAAAAGUAGAAUCAGCCUGUUUUGAAAGUGUAGAGUUAAGCUGAAUUGUAUUUAUGGGAGCAAAUCACCAAGAGCCCAUUGGUAUUUUAUAGAGAUUUGAUUUGAUAGGUUAUUGAUUUUGGCUUUGGGGGAUAUAGCCCCUGUUGAGAAAGUAUCAAACUCACACUGAGUAAAAUUGUCAAAAGCCUUAAAACCAGUAGUGAGGGACUGGCUGGCUCUCACUGCAGCACUUCAAAUGGAGUGGGGAAGAUAUGCCUUAUUGCCUCCAGACCUCUGGAAGCAGUUAUGUGUAUUAAAUACUGGAAUAACUCGAUAUUUUAAAAGCUUAAACGCUCAUCCAAGUAAAAUGGGUUUAGAAGACUGCUGGGAGUUUCAUUAUUUUAUGGCUAAAUCGAUACCCAGAUUUAUGCCUUUUGGACAUAGAAACUUGAAUUUAAUUGAGAAAAUGGAUCUAAUGAGGAUAGACAUUUUUCAUGCAGGUGCCCUUGUUUAAAAACACACAUGCACACAGCUCUGUACCACAUGAAAAAAAAACCAACUUAGUUUUAAAAGCUGAAUAGACCCACCAGAGAGAGUGGCACACCCUGAAAACUGGGGAACGGGCAAAGAAACAGUAAUACUUCUGAACUCCUGAGAAUCCAAAGAAUUUGUUGUUGUUCCUGGAUAAAAAAUUCAUUAGUUAACACA